AUCCUACCACUGAUAUUCAAUUUUACAGUCUUUCACAAGGAGAUCUUACAGUGGACCCAAAAUAUUUGCAUUCUGUUUCUACAGAAUUGUACAGCGACUCCCCUCAGCAGGGAAAAAAUCACCUGUUCACACAAGAACAGGAACAACAUAUCAUAAACAUGGUCAUUGCAAACAACACCAUACGUUUGCGACAAAUGCAACAGCACAUAAUUACUGACAACACAACAUUCAUCAACAUACACAGGGUGCCGUCUACUGAAGCAGAAUAGACUUUGCAUGAAACAGCUGUACAGAGCGCCAUUUGAAAGAAACUGAAAGAGUGAAGCAACUGCGCUAUGAAAAUGUACAAAGAGUCAUGGAGCUUGAUGCUGCUGCACAACAGCAUGCGUACAUAUAUAUCGAUGAUGUUGGCUUCAAUCUAACAAAGAACAGACGCUGGGGAAGGAACAUCAUCGGGCAGCGUGCUGUUGUCCAUGUUCCUGGGCUGCGUGGUCGAAACAUCACAAUGCAUGCUGCAAUUAGCCAGGAUGGUGUCCUUGACCACCACGCCAGUCUCGGCCACUACAACACAGCUCAUAUCCUCGGAUUCCUCGACACCCUGCAUGACACACUUGUUCCCACUGACCAGGGGACUCUGUGUUUGUUAUCAUAUGGGACAACGUGAGUUUCCAACGGGCUCUUCUGGUCCAAGAUCGUUUCAACAAUCAACCCACGGUUUCAAGUUCUCCGCCUUCCACCUUACUCUCCUUUCCUGAACCCUACUGAGGAGCUCUUUUCAGCAUGGCGUUGGAAGGUUUAUGACCAUUAACCCUUCCAACGUGCAGCUCUCAUCCAGGCAAUGGAAGAGGCCUGUGCUGACAUUGAUGUGGAGGCAUGCCAGGGCUGGAUACGCCACUCAAGACUGUUGGCCGGACAGGACAUCGCUUGUGAUGUUGAUUAAGUGCUGUGGCCUGAUCUACAUCAGAGACAGGAUAGAGAGUAACUGCAAUACUGUACAGGCCUACUGUAUUUUACAGUACAGUAUGUUCAUGACAUCUUCAAAUCAGUAUUGAGAAUAAAGAGAUUUUGUUUCCCCA